GAUGAACGCUAGCGGCAGGCUUAACACAUGCAAGUCGAGGGGUAGGAAGAGCUUGCUUUUCUGAGACCGGCGCACGGGUGCGUAACGCGUAUACAAUCUACCUUGUACAGUGGGAUAGCCCAGAGAAAUUUGGAUUAAUAACUCAUAGUGUUAUUGAGUGGCAUCACAUGAUAACUAAAGUUCCAACGGUACAAGAUGAGUACGCCUCCCAUUAGUUAGAUGGUAAGGUAACGGCUUACCAUGACAAUGAUGGGUAGGGGUCCUGAGAGGGAGAUCCCCCACACUGGUACUGAGACACGGACCAGACUCCUACGGGAGGCAGCAGUGAGGAAUAUUGGACAAUGGGGGCAACCCUGAUCCAGCCAUGCCGCGUGCAGGAUGACGGUCCUAUGGAUUGUAAACUGCUUUUAUACAGGAAGAACCCCUUCUUUGCGAGGAAGACUGACGGUACUGUAAGAAUAAGGAUCGGCUAACUCCGUGCCAGCAGCCGCCGUAAGAC
rnacentral:rRNA from 1 species